AGAGUUUGAUCAUGGCUCAGGACGAACGCUGGCGGCGUGCCUAACACAUGCAAGUCGAGCGGAGACAUGCGACGGAACUGAAGUUUUCGGAUGGAAGUGAAGAUGUAUGUUUUAGCGGCGGACGGGUGAGUAACGCGUGAACAAUCUGUCCUUCACAGGGGGAUAACACAGCGAAAGUUGUACUAAUACCGCAUGAGACCACAGUACCGCAUGGUACAGGGGUCAAAGGAGCAAUCCGGUGAAGGGUGAGUUCGCGUCCGAUUAGAUAGUUGGUGAGGUAACGGCCCACCAAGUCGACGAUCGGUAGCCGACCUGAGAGGGUGAUCGGCCACAUUGGGACUGAGACACGGCCCAAACUCCUACGGGAGGCAGCAGUGGGGAAUAUUGGGCAAUGGGGGAAACCCUGACCCAGCAACGCCGCGUGAGGGAAGAAGGUUUUCGGAUCGUAAACCUCUGUCCUAGGUGAAGAGCAAGAGACGGUAGCCUAGGAGGAAGCCCCGGCUAACUACGUGCCAGCAGCCGCGGUAAUACGUAGGGGGCGAGCGUUGUCCGGAAUGAUUGGGCGUAAAGGGCGCGUAGGCGGCCCGGUAAGUCUGGAGUGAAAGUCCUGCUUUUAAGGUGGGAAUUGCUUUGGAUACUGUCGGGCUUGAGUGCAGGAGAGGUAAGUGGAAUUCCCAGUGUAGCGGUGAAAUGCGUAGAGAUUGGGAGGAACACCAGUGGCGAAGGCGACUUACUGGACUGUAACUGACGCUGAGGCGCGAAAGUGUGGGGAGCAAACAGGAUUAGAUACCCUGGUAGUCCACACUGUAAACGAUGAAUGCUAGGUGUAGGGGGUAUCGACCCCUUCUGUGCCGCAGUAAACACAAUAAGCAUUCCGCCUGGGGAGUACGGCCGCAAGGUUGAAACUCAAAGGAAUUGACGGGGACCCGCACAAGCAGCGGAGCAUGUGGUUUAAUUCGAAGCAACGCGAAGAACCUUACCAGGGCUUGACAUCUUCCUGACAGGACCUUAACCGGUCCCUUCUUCGGACAGGAAUGACAGGUGGUGCAUGGUUGUCGUUAGCUCGUGUCGUGAGAUGUUGGGUUAAGUCCCGCAACGAGCGCAACCCUUGCCAUUAGUUGCCAUCAUUCAGUUGGGCACUCUAAUGGGACUGCCGGGGACAACUCGGAGGAAGGUGGGGAUGACGUCAAAUCAUCAUGCCCCUUAUGUCCUGGGCUACACACGUGCUACAAUGGUCGGUACAGUGAGACGCAAAAUCGUGAGGUGGAGCAAAUCUAUAAAACCGGCCCCAGUUCGGAUUGCAGGCUGCAACUCGCCUGCAUGAAGUCGGAGUUGCUAGUAAUCGCGAAUCAGAAUGUCGCGGUGAAUGCGUUCCCGGGUCUUGUACACACCGCCCGUCACACCAUGGAAGUUGGGGGCGCCCGAAGUUGGUCAGAUAAUAGAUUACCUAAGGCGAAACCAAUGACUGGGGUGAAGUCGUAACAAGGUAACCGUA
rnacentral:rRNA from 1 species